AAGACUAUACUUCACAGGAUCAUUUCUGUAGUCGGUCUUCUUUUACUUUAAAUGCAAAGUAAAACCAUCUUUACUCUAAGG
rnacentral:snoRNA from 12 species